CGACUGGCGGCGUGCUAACACAUGCAAGUCGAACGAAGCAUUUGCCACGAUCCCUCGGGGUGACGGCAUUCUGACUUAGUGGCGGACGGGUGAGUAACGCGUGGACAACCUGCCGCAUGCAGGGGGAUAACAGCCGGAAACGGCUGCUAAUACCGCAUAAGCGCACAGUGCCGCAUGGCACGGUGUGGAAAACUUUCGUGGCAUGCGAUGGAUCCGCGUCUGAUUAGCUUGUUGGCGGGGCAACGGCCCACCAAGGCGACGAUCAGUAGCCGGCCUGAGAGGGCGUACGGCCACAUUGGGACUGAGACACGGCCCAGACUCCUACGGGAGGCAGCAGUGGGGAAUAUUGCACAAUGGGGGGAACCCUGAUGCAGCCGACGCUGCGUGAGCGAUGAAGUAUUUCGGUAUGUAAAGCUCUAUCAGCAGGGAAGAAACAAAUGACGGUACCUGACUAAGAAGCCCCGGCUAACUACGUGCCAGCCGCCGC
rnacentral:rRNA from 1 species